rnacentral:rRNA from 1 species
AUUGAACGCUGGCGGCAGGCCUAACACAUGCAAGUCGAGCGAGCGGCGGACGGGUGCGUCAUGUAUGGGGACUGCCCGAUAGAGGGGGAUAACUACUGGAAACGGUGGCUAAUACCGCAUACUAUCGGUGAACCAAUAUGGGAUUAGCUAGUAGGUGGGGUAAAGGCUAACCUAGGCGACGAUCUCUAGCUGGUCUGAGAGGAUGAUCAGCCAAAUGUGUAUGGGGACACGGCCCAGACCCCAACGGAGGCAGCAGUGGGGAAUAUUGGACAAUGGGCGCAAUCCUGAUGCAGCCAGGCCGCGUGUAUGAAGAAGGCCUUAGGUUUUUAAAGUACUUUCAGCGGGGAGGCGGUACCCGCAGAAGAAGCACCGGCUAACUCCGUGCCAGCAGCCGCGGUAAUUC